rnacentral:lncRNA from 1 species
UAACUUCUGUAAUAUAUUUAACACCCCAAAAAAAAUACACCACAAACAUAUCCAAAUUCGAAUAAUUAUCUUCUCAAACUAAAUAGAACAUGUAUUUUCUAUUUACAAUGUUGUCUACCCGAGGGAGACUCGUUAAACCGUUUGGGUUGAUUCAGAGUAACAUUUCGAGUCCCUUCGGGUUGUUUCUUUUUACGCCUACCUUGUUGUGACAUACGAGCAUGAUAAGACAAAAUGGCAAAGUCAUUUAGGUCAUGCAAUGGGCUCAGGGAUUUAACAACUUCAUCCAUCGAGGGUCUGGCCUUUGAAUCCCGGCUCAAACAAUUGUAUGCUAUCUGAGCAACCUUUUGGACACCUUUCACGGAGUAGUUUAAUUCCAAUCGAGGAUCAACUAGUUGAUACACUUUUCUCUUGUCGGCUAGAUAUGGGCGGGCCCACAUAACAAGGUUUUGCUCUCCACUUGGGCGCUUUUUGUCCAUUGAUCUCCGACCUGUCAAGAUCUCUAAGAGUACAACUCCAAAGCUAUAAACAUCGCUCUUAGACGUCAAAUGUCCUUACCAGUCAUCACGUAUUCGGGGGCAGCAUAGCCGUAUGUUCCAACGACCCUAGUAGAGACAUGGGUCUUAUCUCCUUGUGGUCCUGCUUUUGCUAGACCAAAAUCUGAAAGCU